UACCUGGUUGAUCCUGCCAGUAGUCAUAUGCUUGUCUCAAAGAUUAAGCCAUGCAUGUCUAAGUAUAAACAACUUUGUACUGUGAAACUGCGAAUGGCUCAUUAAAUCAGUUAUAGUUUAUUUGAUGGUAUCUUGCUACAUGGAUAACUGUGGUAAUUCUAGAGCUAAUACAUGCAAUCAAGCCCCAACUUCCGGAAGGGGUGUAUUUAUUAGAUAAAAAACCAACGCGGCUCGCCGCUCCCUUGGUGAUUCAUAAUAACUUCUCGAAUCGCAUGGCCUUGUGCCGGCGAUGCUUCAUUC
rnacentral:ncRNA from 1 species